rnacentral:rRNA from 1 species
UACGAAGGGUGCAAGCGUUACUCGGAAUUACUGGGCGUAAAGCGUGCGUAGGUGGUUCGUUAAGUCUGAUGUGAAAGCCCUGGGCUCAACCUGGGAAUGGCAUUGGAAACUGGCGAUCUAGAGUGCGGUAGAGGGUAGUGGAAUUCCCGGUGUAGCAGUGAAAUGCGUAGAUAUUGGGAGGAACACCAGUGGCGAAGGCGGCUCACUGGACUGGUACUGACGCUGAGGCGCGAAAGCGUGGGGAGCAAACGGG